AACACCUGAAAUCAUGAUAUUGGAUGAAUUUUAAUUUAUCAAGAUGCUGAAGUAUAAAUGAAUAUGAAGGUUAUAGGAAGUAAACCUGAAAAAGUUCUGAGGUGUCUUACCAAAGAUAAACAAAAAAAGAAUUGAAGGAGACAGAGUACAAAUUUCUUCCUGAAACUGGAUACUCAAAGGCAAAGGGAAGAAGUCGACUACUUUCAUAUCCAUACAUGAAAAUGUUGUUGAAAACGAAGUGGAUAAGUACACAAAAAGCCACCAUGAGGAGGGACUCAGAUCAGAUUUAUAUUUGAAAGGGACAAGAACAAUUAGAAAUGUCAGAUAUAGCGACUGGAACUUUAUAUUAUUUUACAUGUUACAUCUAUUAUACUGUAUCAAUCUUGGAAAAUAUUUGUGAUUUUAUAAAGAAUAAUUGCAAUGAAUAAAAUUUCAUACAUUUUUUUUU